UGGUCUUCGUGCCUGCUGGCAGAACCAUGCAGCCGCCUCCGCCCCCAGCGCUGCCCCCGGCCGAGCCGUGCCCCGCGGGGUUGGGGCUUUAACGGAGCCCGUCCCGGAGCCGGUCGCGGGGCAGCACGGGGGCCGGGAGCGGCCGCGGCCCCCCCUCGCCCCCUCUCGCAGCGUGUCGUUAUUCGGCCGCGGCCACCGCCUUCCCGCCCCGCCGGGGCAGCCGCCCCUCCCCCGCCCGCCGCGAGCAGCCCCGGCCGAGCCGCGCGGCCGGUGCGCGGCCCCCGAGAGCUUUUUUUUCCUCUUUCGCCCCGCGCUCCCCUGUGCUGCGUAUGCAAAUGUAGCCCAGCACCAGGAAGUAGGCUGAAAAGCGCCGGGGCGGUCGCCCGAGCCAGUGCGAAGUUCCUCCGCGGGCUGCACCGGCCGCGGGGCAGCAGCGGGCGGCCGGCGCUUCCCGCCGCGCACGGAGGAGCCGCGGCGCGGUGCUUGCCCCCCUCCGCGGGCAAAGCCCCUCGCCGGUGCUGCCGCGCAGCCCGCCCUCCCGGCGGUAACCGUGGAGUUUACUCGCCGCUGCCCAACCUUCGCACCCGGCAAAGUAAGUGCCUUCGCGCUCGGCGGCGGGGCGGGCUGCCGGGGCUCUGGCGGCUCGCCCGGCCGGGUGGGUUAGCGGCGCGGCGCGGCGCGGCGCGGCGAGCGAAGGGGGCGCCUCCUGCCCGCCCCCUCCCCCCGCGGGCGGUUGGCGGCGGGGCGCAGCCGUUGCGGCCGCGACCGUUGGCCCGCGGCGCCCCCUCCGCGCCGCCGCCCCCUCGCGGAGGGGCCGGAGGCAGAGCCCGAGCGCGGCUGGGCGGAGGAGGGCGACGGGCUGGCCGCGGAGGGGGGCGGCGAGGGCGAGGUCUUCUGCCGCCGCCGGCUGAUGGGCGAGGGGCAGGUCGGGCCGCGAAGCCCCGCCGGGUCUCCGGGUGGGUCGCGAUGGGGCAGCGCGAGGCGCGGCCGUGUCGGCGCCGGGAGCGGUUGUGCCGGCCGGGUCGGCGCGGCGGUGCCCGGCCAGGCCGUGGCCGCGCUCCCGGACACGCCGGCUACAAGAGGCGAGAGUUACUUUUGGGGGUGGUCGCCCUCCCCGCAGCCUCGGGGAGGAGGUGUCGCUGCCCACGACCUCCCCGGUGGGAGCAGGUGGGGUUUUAA
ensembl:lncRNA